GUGUCAGCCGCCGCGGUAAAACGUAGGACACAAGCGUUAUCCGGAAUUACUGGGCGUAAAGCGCAUGCAGGCGGAUUACCAAGUCAUGUGUGAAAGCUCCCGGCUAAACUGGGAGAGGACGGAUGAGACUGGUAGUCUGGAGGGUGGUAGAGGCGUGUGGAAUUCCGCGUGUAGUGGUGAAAUGCGUAGAGAUGCGGAGGAACACCAGUGGCGAAGGCGGCACGCUGGGCCAUACCUGACGCUGAGAUGCGAAAGCAUGGGGAGCGAACGGGAUUAGAAACCCCAGUAGUCC
rnacentral:rRNA from 1 species